CUCACUAUCAGUUCUGAGAUUCUGCAGCCAAGAAGGAAAGCUCUUCCAGGACACUUAAGAUCAUGCCUCUCGAAGAGAAAAGCAAUAAUGUUCUUCAUAUUUUACCAGCUACACAAAACACCCAGAAAGGAAGAUAUAACAAAGACUGAAAAUGGAUGAAAUGAUACAGGUCUCUACUACAAUCUAGGUAGCUCCUAAUUCUUGUCUAGGGCUGAUUCUUGCUAAUCUUUACCUCAGAGAGUUUCUCAGUGUCAAUGAGGACUACACACAAAGGGCUUAAAAACAAACAAACAAACAAACAGGGAAAUCCUCUAUAAUUCUUCACUAGAUGGUGGUUUACAGAUUAUUGGUAUAAUGGCAUCCUGAAAUGGUCUAUCAAUAUGUACUAGACAUGUAAGUAAAAAACAGGUUUAUUCAUCUAUAAAUUUAUUUACAUAGAGACUACAUUAUUUAUUCUGCAUUAAAAUUGAAUCAGGAGAUGAAGACAAGAGGAAACAUUUAAUCACUAUGAAUACAGUGAUUUAAAAAAAUUAUAUAAGUAAGCCCUGGCAACAAAGUGAGAUCCCAUCUCUACAAAA